AGGAAAGAGCUCAAAGUUGGAACCUGUUUGGCUUAGCUAAACCGGAUUGUAAACUGUAGAAGUGUUUUCCAGACACGCCUGGUAAAAAAGUCCUUUGGAACAGGGCAUCAUAGAGGGUGAGAAUCCCGUCUUUGGCCAGAGCUGUUGUCUUUUGUGAUACAUUUUCAAAGAGUCAGGUUGUUUGGGAAUGCAGCCUAAAUUGGGUGGUAAAUCUCACCUAAAGCUAAAUAUUUGCGAGAGACCGAUAGCGAACAAGUACCGUGAGGGAAAGAUGAAAAGAACUUUGAAAAGAGAGUUAAACAGUAUGUGAAAUUGUUAAAAGGGAACCGUUUGGAGCCAGACUGGCUUGACUGUAAUCAAUCUAGGCUUCGGCCUGGAUGCACUUGCGGUUUAUGCCUGCCAACGACAAUUUUUUUUGAGGGAAAAAACUAUUUGGAAUGUGGCCCUCCCUCGGGGGGGUGUUAUAGCCUUUUAGAAAAUACCUUGAAUUGGAUUGAGGAACGCAGUGAAUGCCUUUAGGCAAGAUUGCUGGGCGCUUUCGCUAAUAAAUGCUAGAAUUUCUGCUUCGGGUGGUGCUAGUGUUUAAAGGAGAAACUCGUCUGGUAUA
rnacentral:rRNA from 1 species